ACAUCCAGAGAACUUAGCAGAGAUGCUUUGGUGCCUUCGGGAACUCUGAGACAGGUGCUGCAUGGCUGUCGUCAGCUCGUGUUGUGAAAUGUUGGGUUAAGUCCCGCAACGAGCGCAACCCUUUAUCCUUUGUUGCCAGCGGUCCGGCCGGGAACUCAAAGGAGACUGCCAGUGAUAAACUGGAGGAAGGUGGGGAUGACGUCAAGUCAUCAUGGCCCUUACGAGUAGGGCUACACACGUGCUACAAUGGCGCAUACAAAGAGAAGCGACCUCGCGGGAGCAAGCGGACCUCAUAAAGUGCGUCGUAGUCCGGAUUGGAGUCUGCAACUCGACUCCAUGAAGUCGGAAUCGCUAGUAAUCGUAGAUCAGAAUGCUACGGUGAAUACGUUCCCGGGCCUUGUACACACCGCCCGUCACACCAUGGGAGUGGGUUGCAAAAGAAGUAGGUAGCUUAACCUUCGGGAGGGCGCUUACCACUUUGUGAUUCAUGACUGGGGUGAAGUCGUAACAAGGUAAGCGUACGUGU
rnacentral:rRNA from 1 species